UAGCAACCGAUGACACUUUUCUCAUCUCGCUGAGCUACACGGCUUUUAAUCGCUGUUUUUUGACUGAAACAAACAUUGAAAAUGGAGCAAAAACAACCAAGAUCAUUUAACUUCAAGUCAGAUGAGUUAGAGGUGUUGGUAAGCUCUGUCGAGUAAUCAAAAGAUAUUCUUUUUGGGAAAUUUACAUCAACGCUAACUCGGGAGAUAAAAGAAAGAGUGGGCUAAGAUAGCGGACACAGUCUCCACCGUAUCCGGCAUCCAGCGGAGCGUUGAAGCUGUCAGAAAGAAAAUGACUAGUGAUACGAAGAGGAAGGCAGCUCUUGUGUCCAGAGAGCAGAAGACCGGUGGUGGCUCCUCCUGUGCUCCCUCGCUGACCCCAGCAGAAACCCAUAUUGUGGGUCACCUCGGGAAAGUUAAUUAAGAAGGCAUUCCUGCUAGGUAUGAAGUUGGCCUAGGAGUGGACAGUGCGGUGUUUGCCCACAUAGAUAUCCAGCUGUCUGACCUAAAUGACGAAGAUGUGGUUUUGGAGGAGCAGAGCAGUCCUCAAUCAUCAGCUGUGGUCACACUCACAACACCCCCUGCAAAAAAAAUGGAAGCCAUCCAGCAUGUCAGACACCCUGGCCUUGCUGGAGAUAGAAAAGGAGAAGCUGGAGCUGUUCAAGGAGAAGUUCACACUAGAGAAGUGCAGAGUAAAACUGCUGUGCAAAAAGUGCAAUAGCGAAAUAUAAGCAAGCCAUUUUUUAAA